rnacentral:rRNA from 1 species
GCCAACACACACGUACAGGAAGGGAAAAAGUCACCUGCAAUUACAUAGAGGAAACGGCUUUGCGUUCCUUCUCCUCCACUCCUUCCUUGGCCUGUUUCUCUGCCCAUUUCUUCCGGCGAGCGAGCGCCCCUUGGUGCUUCCUAUUCCUUUUUAGUUUCGUUCAUAAACGCACAGAGAGCAAGAAACAUACAGCCAUGAUUCUCCUCCUCCUCUAACUCCCUUGAUCUUAGACCAUUUCCAAAACCGGAGAUAUCUAGGCGUGCGCCUCUACUUCCUCUUCCAAUCCCCUGGCAACUCAUGCCCUCUCUCUUCCUCCUCUGCCCAAGAACACUCGUUGAACUUUUGAAGCUCCAUGGAUGCAAGGGAAGAAGGAACGUGAUCCGUCAAGCACACACGAAGAAUUCGGCAUGUCCGCGUACACUGUUCAUCAAGUUCGUCGCACCGUUCCAUCAAACUCGGGAGUGACGACGGUGUUGGACAUGGACAGAAAUAGGUUACCGAAGAAUGACUCAACAAUGAAGAGUCCCAUGAAGACGAAGGUGAUGUCUAUGACAACUAUGGCGAUCCGUAGGAGUGAGGUCACGUGGACUACAUCGACUGUCUGUGGCUGAGUUGGAGUCACUACGCAUUGUACUUUCUGCUACUUUCUGAUUGUAAUAAAUUUCAUGAGAGUUUCUCUAUGUAUUCCUUGCGGCAAUAUUUAUUAAACUUGUAAUACUUUUACGUAUUGUGCAAUGAUACCAUUUCGCUGUGUUGUCAACAAUGAUCCUGGGGUUGAAAAAUAUACACAGGAG